rnacentral:ncRNA from 1 species
GAGAGCCGUGUGAUGGGUGACUAUCUAGCACGGUUCAGAGAGCACGUGUAUGUAGUCUGCUAGCGAUUUGACGACUCCCAU